rnacentral:rRNA from 1 species
GAUGAACGCUAGCUACAGGCUUAACACAUGCAAGUCGAGGGGAAACGACAUCGAAAGCUUGCUUUUGAUGGGCGUCGACCGGCGCACGGGUGAGUAACGCGUAUCCAACCUGCCCAUCACUUGGGAAUAACCUUGCGAAAGUAAGACUAAUACCCAAUGAUAUCCCACGAAGGCAUCGGAAUGGGAUUAAAGAUUUAUCGGUGAUGGAUGGGGAUGCGUCUGAUUAGCUUGUUGGCGGGGUAACGGCCCACCAAGGCAACGAUCAGUAGGGGUUCUGAGAGGAAGGUCCCCCACAUUGGAACUGAGACACGGUCCAAACUCCUACGGGAGGCAGCAGUGAGGAAGAUUGGUCAAUGGGCGAGAGCCUGAACCAGCCAAGUAGCGUGCAGGAAGACGGCCCUAUGGGUGGUAAACUGCUUUUAUAAGGGAAUAAAGUGGGUCACGUGUGACUUUUUGCAUGUACCUUAUGAAUAAGAACCGGCUAAUUCCGUG